AAGUCGUAACAAGGUUUCCGUAGGUGAACCUGCGGAAGGAUCAUUCAUGAGCGUCCGGUGCUUCAAGCGCCGACCCUCCAUCCCUUGCGUAUAAACCUUCUGCCUGGCUUGCGGCCCGCGGUCUCACCGCGGGCGGGGCCGCCUUUUAAAACCAAUUCUUUUUUUGUCGUCUGAGUACUCUUCGUUAAAUCGAAAAGAACACAACUUUCAACAAUGGAUCUCUUGGCUCUGGCAUCGAUGAAGAACGCAGCGAAAUGCGAUAAGUAAUGUGAAUUGCAGAAUUCAGUGAAUCAUCGAAUCUUUGAACGCACAUUGCGCCCCUUGGUAUUCCGGGGGGCACGCCUGUCCGAGCGCCGUUUUCACCCCUCAAGCCCGGCUUGUUGUUGGGGCCCCGCGGGCAUGCCCGCGCGCCCUCGAAAACAUCGGCGCGGCCACCGGCCUCCCCAGACACCGCGUUGUCAGAAGGAGCCGGCGAGUCGCCGCCUCGAAAACGAACCGCAAAACUUGGCCUCGGAUCAGGCGGGGAUACCCGCUGAACUUAA
rnacentral:rRNA from 1 species